GGGGCAGCGGGAAGGUUAGCUUGCUAAUCUUUGCCGGCGACCGGCGCACGGGUGAGUAACACGUAUGCAACCUGUCCGGUACAGGGGGAUAAGCGGCGGAAACGCCGUCUAAUACCGCGUGACAACCCGAGGGGGCAUCCCCUUGGGUUCAAAGGAGAGAUCCGGUACCGGCUGGGCAUGCGGCGCAUUAGCUAGUUGGCGGGGCAACGGCCCACCAAGGCGACGAUGCGUAGGGGUUCUGAGAGGAAGGUCCCCCACACUGGAACUGAGACACGGUCCAGACUCCUACGGGAGGCAGCAGUGAGGAAUAUUGGUCAAUGGGCGCAAGCCUGAACCAGCCAAAUCACAUAAAAAAAGACGGCCAUAAAAAAAAUAAACCUCUUUUCCCCCCCCCCCAACCCUAAACACAUCUACCCAAACUAAAUAAUACCCAAUNAAAAAGCAUCAACUAACUCCCUCCCACCAACCACAAUAAUACAAAUUAUACAAACAUUAUCCAAAUUUAUUAAAUUUAAAAAUAGCACAAACAAACUAUUAACCCAUCAAUAAAAAUUCAAAACUCAACCCUAUCAACCCCUCCCAACUCACAAUCUUAAAUAAACUAAAAAAUAUCCCCAAUCCUUNNUNUANCNNAUNAAAUGCAUAGAUAUCACGCAGAACGCCGAUUGCGAAGGCAGCAUACCGGCGCCCGACUGACGUGAGGGCACGAAAGCGUGGGGAUCGAACAGGAUUAGAUACCCUGGUAGUCCACGCAGUAAACGAUGAGCGCUAACUGUCCGGAGCGAGCGAGCUCUGGGUGGUACAGUGAAAGCGUUAAGCGCUCCACCUGGGGAGUACGCCGGCAACGGUGAAACUCAAAGGAAUUGACGGGGGCCCGCACAAGCGGAGGAACAUGUGGUUUAAUUCGAUGAUACGCGAGGAACCUUACCCGGGCUCAAACGUAAGCGGAAUAACGGUGAAAGCCGUUAGCUAUUUAUAGCCGCUUACGAGGUGCUGCAUGGUUGUCGUCAGCUCGUGCCGUGAGGUGUCGGCUUAAGUGCCAUAACGAGCGCAACCCCCAUCGCCAGUUGCUAACAAGUAACGUUGAGGACUCUGGCGAGACUGCCGGCGCAAGCUGCGAGGAAGGCGGGGAUGACGUCAAAUCAGCACGGCCCUUACGUCCGGGGCGACACACGUGUUACAAUGGCAGGUACAGAGAGAAGCCAUCCCGCGAGGGAGAGCGGAACUUUAAAGCCUGUCUCAGUUCGGAUUGGAGUCUGCAACCCGACUCCAUGAGGCUGGAUUCGCUAGUAAUCGC
rnacentral:rRNA from 1 species